UAGAAAAGACAUCAAUACAUUUGCAUUUUAGUCAUUUAGCAGACGCUUUUAUCCAGAGCGAAUUACAGGAGCAAUUCGGGUUUAAGUGUAGCCUCUUUUGGAAUCCAAGAGUGAAAUACUUACACACUCGUCUCUAACAUGUAGGCUCAGCAUUGCCGAACAGUCCCAUUACAAAUCAGAAUGUUGGUCUAACUUUUUCCGUUGAUUUUUUUCCCCUAUGUCGGAAGUAAUCUGAUAUAAAGAUCCACAGGGAAAUGCUAUCAACCCGACCUUCAGUACACUGGUCUGUAUAUCGAUUUGUAUCCGGUUUUAUUUUCAAUACUGUUGCAAUUCGCACAUGAGAAACCGAACCACAGACAGCAAACACUUCCAGCUGAUUAUGAGGAAACAUGCUUCGGUCAACUACGUUCAGUUGCAUUCGGCUUUGUUUACAUAUUGUGCAAUGGGUCUAAAACACAAGCGACAUACCGGCGCUGAAAAAAAGUUGAGUAAACAACACUCGCCUGUGAAUACCCUAUAUCCUGCUCUUACCGCCAAAAGGAUCAACAGCAUGUACAACUGGUAAAAGAACACUGAUGAUGGCCAAGGAAGUUGCACAGAACUUCCCCAACAUCCCCUCCCAAAUUGAUAUAGAACCUUCACAAAAAAACACAUGGAGCAUCUGCGAAAGGAAAUGUCUGAGGAUUUACUAAAAAUGUCUGAGUUCAACAAAGCCAAGAACUGUUUCAUGUGUGCCACUGACAAAGAACCUGCAUGUGGCCCAAAGACUGACUGGGUUAGUAACUUUAUUUAACAUGUUUAUAAUCUUUUGACAACAGUGAUGGCAUGCAAGACAAUUUAUUAUAUAACACAAUGGAUGGCUAAUUCGGACACGGACAUGUUCUGGCCUGGUUUAGAUCUUAUCUGUCGGAAAGAUAUCAGUUUGUCUCUGUGAAUGGUUUGUCCUCUGACAAAUCAACUGUAAAUUCCGGUGUUCCUCAAG